UCGGGGGUCGUCUAACUGGCAGGACGCUGGCCUUUGAAGCCAAGAACCGAGGUUCGAACCCUCGCCCCCGAACCU
rnacentral:tRNA from 1 species